UACGUAGGGCGCAAGCGUUGUCCGGAAUUAUUGGGCGUAAAGAGCUCGUAGGCGGCUUGUUGCGUCCGCUGUGAAAUCCCGGGGCUUAACCCCGGGCGUGCAGUGGAUACGGGCAGGCUAGAGGCAGGCAGGGGAGAACGGAAUUCCUGGUGUAGCGGUGAAAUGCGCAGAUAUCAGGAAGAACACCCGUGGCGAAGGCGGCUCUCUGGGACGGUACUGACGCUGAGACGCGAAAGCGUGGGGAGCGAACAGG
rnacentral:rRNA from 1 species